UAAAUAGUAGUAAAAAUUAAUAUUACGUUUUAUUUACAAUAAGAAGUUGCUUUUAAGACUAUUUAA
rnacentral:tRNA from 1 species